CCAUGAGCCUUCGUGUGGAUCGGUUUCUUUAUUCAGUCGGCACAUUUCUGGUCCAUUGCUGCAACUCAGUCCAUCCAACCUGGCAAAACCAUUGAUGUCCACAUACAGUAACAUUUGCUGCGUCCUUACGUCAACAGCUACUGGAUGGGACAGGAGGAUGUAGCACCUUGGAAACAUCUUGACUAAUUAAAGACACUUUUAUGCCAAUGGACUUCUAUCUGCCCAUGGACCUGUAAUAGUGUACAGUGGACUGUGGAAGGAGAGACCCGUUGUGAUCAAGUGUGGUAUUAAGGAUCCAGUCAAGACUGACGGAGCUCCAGACUGUACUGCAAGAGGAGAUGAGCUUAUUUGACAAACCCACUCGUGGAACCUCUAUGGAUGAAUUUAAAGAGAUGCUGCACAGUUUCCUUAAGGCUAAGCUUGGUGAGCAGCCAUCUUUGAACACCUUGGUGGACAGGGUCAUCACUCUGGCUGAUAUCAAUC